rnacentral:rRNA from 1 species
CCUACGGGGGGCAGCAGUGGGGAAUAUUGGGCAAUGGGCGCAAGCCUGACCCAGCAACGCCGCGUGAAGGAAGAAGGCUUUCGGGUUGUAAAGUUCUUUCGGCAGGGAAGAGUAGAAGACGGUACCUGACGAAGAAGCCACGGCUAACUACGUGCCAGCAGCCGGGGUAAUACGGAGGUGGCAAGCGUUGUCCGGAUUUACUGGCGGGAAAGGGCGGGUAGCCGGGUUGACAAGUCAGAUGUGAAAUCCUGCGGCUUAACCGCAGAACUGCAUUUGAAACUGUUGCUCUAGAGUACUGGAGAGGCAGAUGGAAUUCCAAGUGUAGCGGUGAAAUGCGUAGAUAUUAGGAGGAACACCAGUGGCGAAGGCGGUCUGCUGGACAGCAACUGACGGUGAGGCGCGAAAGCGUGGGGAGCAAACAGGAUUAGAUACCCCUGUAGUC